UUACAAGUUGAUCUGAGAGUAGAUCCAAACUUGCUUUGUGGAGUAGUUCUAGAUUAGCAACAUCAUGCUGCCUUGCGUUUUUUCCUCUUCUGUUUGACCCCUUAACUUGUUUCUGAGACAUCUUGAAAAAGUUGUUGUCUACUGUUUAGGUUUGUGAAAGUUCAUUGCAUAAUUUGUUCAUUUCACUCGCAUUUUCCACAUGUUCUAAUGAUUAACGUUGUUCGGUUAUGGAUGAUGCCAUUCUGUGAUGCAAUAUGAUAUGCCACUGAUUGCUUCUCCACUGUCUGCAAUCCUUUUAGGCACGGGAAUGAGUUUGUGCCUACUGUUGGAUUCUUCCUUACUACCCACCCGUCUCAGGUACUUGCCCCUAUUCCAAAUCAAGUUCAUCACCUUUGAAGUACUCUGGUUUAUAUGUCCCCUUUUAUUGUGUACUAUAGUUUGAGUUUUCUCCAGAACUGAUGCUAUAACUUCUUAAACAACAGUUACAUGUAUAUCCGAGUCUGAAUCAGAUAACAAAUAGUGCUCAUGUGUAUUUAUGUAUCAAGAUUCACAUUUCCUGUCUAUAGAGUGGUGGGUGAAAAAUAGUUAAGAAAACAAUGCUCCUGGAAGAUGUACUAUACUUGGAAAGAGAAGAGCCAAACAAAGAUUUUCAUACUGUGUUGGAAAUUUCGAGCGGUCUUAGCUGUCAGAAUUUUGAUAAUUACACACAAUUGCUUGUUUACAUGUACUCAUCUCCUGCCUGAUAUUUCCAGGUGGUUGUUCGAAGAUGGCAUGCUCAAGAGGAUAGACUACUGACACUAUUAGAAGAGGAGGCAGAAAAGACAUACUGAUUUGAAGACCACCUCAAUUGUUUGGGAUCUGGAUUGUCUAUACAUAUUUUGUUGGUAGUUGGCAGAUCUGGCCCAUCAUAAUUUUGUCCUGCUACCAUGCAGUUCUAUGUACCAUGCAAUUUUUUCCUCCAUCCUGGUCUCAAGGUGUGAUUAUGAUUUGCUUUCUACAGAUUUUCUAAGUAUCCGAUUGGUUAAGUGCUUUGAAUAUGUACACCUAAGGUAUCCGUUCACCCUUUUGUAUUAUCUAAAUCAGUGUGAA